GUCGAACGAACUCUGGUAUUGAUUGGUGCUUGCAUCAUGAUUUACAUUUGAGUGAGUGGCGAACUGGUGAGUAACACGUGGGAAACCUGCCCAGAAGCGGGGGAUAACACCUGGAAACAGAUGCUAAUACCGCAUAACAACUUGGACCGCAUGGUCCGAGCUUGAAAGAUGGCUUCGGCUAUCACUUUUGGAUGGUCCCGCGGCGUAUUAGCUAGAUGGUGGGGUAACGGCUCACCAUGGCAAUGAUACGUAGCCGACCUGAGAGGGUAAUCGGCCACAUUGGGACUGAGACACGGCCCAAACUCCUACGGGAGGCAGCAGUAGGGAAUCUUCCACAAUGGACGAAAGUCUGAUGGAGCAACGCCGCGUGAGUGAAGAAGGGUUUCGGCUCGUAAAACUCUGUUGUUAAAGAAGAACAUAUCUGAGAGUAACUGUUCAGGUAUUGACGGUAUUUAACCAGAAAGCCACGGCUAACUACGUGCCAGCAGCCGCGGUAAUACGUAGGUGGCAAGCGUUGUCCGGAUUUAUUGGGCGUAAAGCGAGCGCAGGCGGUUUUUUAAGUCUGAUGUGAAAGCCUUCGGCUCAACCGAAGAAGUGCAUCGGAAACUGGGAAACUUGAGUGCAGAAGAGGACAGUGGAACUCCAUGUGUAGCGGUGAAAUGCGUAGAUAUAUGGAAGAACACCAGUGGCGAAGGCGGCUGUCUGGUCUGUAACUGACGCUGAGGCUCGAAAGUAUGGGUAGCAAACAGGAUUAGAUACCCUGGUAGUCCAUACCGUAAACGAUGAAUGCUAAGUGUUGGAGGGUUUCCGCCCUUCAGUGCUGCAGCUAACGCAUUAAGCAUUCCGCCUGGGGAGUACGGCCGCAAGGCUGAAACUCAAAGGAAUUGACGGGGGCCCGCACAAGCGGUGGAGCAUGUGGUUUAAUUCGAAGCUACGCGAAGAACCUUACCAGGUCUUGACAUACUAUGCAAAUCUAAGAGAUUAGACGUUCCCUUCGGGGACAUGGAUACAGGUGGUGCAUGGUUGUCGUCAGCUCGUGUCGUGAGAUGUUGGGUUAAGUCCCGCAACGAGCGCAACCCUUAUUAUCAGUUGCCAGCAUUAAGUUGGGCACUCUGGUGAGACUGCCGGUGACAAACCGGAGGAAGGUGGGGAUGACGUCAAAUCAUCAUGCCCCUUAUGACCUGGGCUACACACGUGCUACAAUGGAUGGUACAACGAGUUGCGAACUCGCGAGAGUAAGCUAAUCUCUUAAAGCCAUUCUCAGUUCGGAUUGUAGGCUGCAACUCGCCUACAUGAAGUCGGAAUCGCUAGUAAUCGCGGAUCAGCAUGCCGCGGUGAAUACGUUCCCGGGCCUUGUACACACCGCCCGUCACACCAUGAGAGUUUGUAACACCCAAAGUCGGUGGGGUAACCUUUUAGGAA
rnacentral:rRNA from 1 species